GACGAACGCUGGCGGCGUGCCUAACACAUGCAAGUCGAACGGAGUUCCUUCGGGGACUUAGUGGCGAACGGGUGAGUAACGCGUGAAGAACCUGCCUUUCAGUGGGGGACAACAGUUGGAAACGACUGCUAAUACCGCAUAAUGUUAUUUGAGGGCAUCCUCGGAUAACCAAAGAUUUAUUGCUGAAAGAUGGCUUCGCGUCUGAUUAGCUAGAUGGCGGGGUAACGGCCCACCAUGGCGACGAUCAGUAGCCGGUCUGAGAGGAUGAACGGCCACAUUGGGACUGAGAUACGGCCCAGACUCCUACGGGAGACAGCAGUGGGGAAUAUUGGGCAAUGGGCGAAAGCCUGACCCAGCAACGCCGCGUGAAGGAAGAAGGCCCUCGGGUUGUAAACUUCUUUUACCAGGGACGAAUAAUGACGGUACCUGGAGGAAAAGCAACGGCUAACUACGUGCCAGCAGCCGCAGUAAAAC
rnacentral:rRNA from 1 species